AAUCAACGCUGGCGGCGUGCCUCAGACAUGCAAGUCGAACGAUUAAACUUUCCUUCGGGAAAGAUAUAAAGUGGCGCACGGGUGAGUAACACGUAGGUAAUUGUACCUUUGGGUGGGAUAACCAUCGGAACGAAUGGCUAAUACCGCAUAAUGCAGCGGCAUCGCAAGAUGACAGUUGUUAAAGAUUUAUCGCCUAAAGAGCAGCCUGCGGCAGAUUAGGAGUUGGUAA
rnacentral:rRNA from 1 species